rnacentral:rRNA from 1 species
AGAGUUUGAUCAUGGCUCAGGACGAACGCUGGCGGCGUGCUUAACACAUGCAAGUGGAGCGACGAACCGGGGCUUGCCCCGGGGCAGAGCCGCGAACGGGUGAGUAACACGUGGGUAACCCACCCCGAUGACCGGGACAACCCGAGGAAACUCGGGCUAAUACCGGAUGUGCUCUCUGAACAUCAGUUCAGUGAGGAAAGAUAGCUUCGGCCUUCGCAUCGGGACGGGCCCGCGGCCCAUUAGCUUGUUGGUGGGGUAACGGCCUACCAAGGCGACGAUGGGUAGCUGGUCUGAGAGGACGAUCAGCCACACUGGGACUGAGACACGGCCCAGACUCCUACGGGAGGCAGCAGUGGGGAAUCUUGCGCAAUGCGCGAAAGCGUGACGCAGCAACGCCGCGUGAGGGAAGACGGCCUUCGGGUUGUAAACCUCUUUCAGUUGGGACGAAGCUUCGCCGGUGAAUAGCCGGCUGGAGUGACGGUACCUUCACAAGAAGCCCCGGCUAACUACGUGCCAGCAGCCGCGGUAAUACGUAGGGGGCAAGCGUUGUCCGGAAUCAUUGGGCGUAAAGCGCGUGUAGGCGGUUCGGUAAGUCCGCUGUGAAAGUCGGGGGCUCAACCCUCGAAUGCCGGUGGAUACUGUCGGGCUAGAGUGCGGAAGAGGCGAGUGGAAUUCCUGGUGUAGCGGUGAAAUGCGCAGAUAUCAGGAGGAACACCAAUUGCGAAGGCAGCUCGCUGGGACGUUACUGACGCUGAGACGCGAAAGCGUGGGGAGCAAACAGGAUUAGAUACCCCCGUAGUCC